rnacentral:rRNA from 1 species
UACGGAGGAUCCAAGCGUUAUCCGGAUUCAUUGGGUUUAAAGGGUGCGUAGGCGGCCUUUUAAGUCAGUGGUGAAAUCUUGCCGCUUAACGGUAAAAUUGCCAUUGAUACUGAAAGGCUUGAGUACAUUUGAGGUAAGCGGAAUGUGUAGUGUAGCGGUGAAAUGCUUAGAUAUUACACAGAACACCAAUUGCGAAGGCAGCUUACUAAACUGUGACUGACGCUGAUGCACGAAAGCGUGGGGAGCGAACAGG